rnacentral:rRNA from 1 species
AUGCAUAAUACAUUCAUACUACCGGAUGCAGUAGCAAUAUUGAAUAUUCCUUUGAGAUAUGGUGGUGGUGAUGAUUUUCUAGCAUGGGCACAUGAAACUUCUGGCAACUACACCAUCAAGUCGGCAUACCGAGCUCUCGUGACUCGCAAUGAGCGUCAAGCUCUAGAUGAAGGCCAGGCUACCGGUCCAUCUAUUGGUAACCAACGGUUGUGGAAUGCUCUAUGGAAGCUAAAUGUGUUGCCCAAGGUUCGAGUCUUUUUCCGGCGUGUUCUUAGGGGGAUAUUACCAGAUGAAUCUACCCUACUGCACCUUCAUAUUAGACUAUCAAGCCUUUGGAAAAUAUGUUUGGCUCAGGAAGAGAACCUGGAGCAUGCAUUGAUGAAGUGCUCGCACACAAAACGCUUCUAG